UGAUUUUCUAUUGGACCACACUGCUACACAGGAUAUGUCUUGUGGUGCUUUAAUACUAGCAAAAUACCUGUCUAUAGAUGAAAUGGAAAGUUAGUUCGGAAUUCAAAAGCAGAAAAGGUUAUAAAAGACGGAAGGAACCUUCUGCCUUGAUUUUAUAAUUCAUGUUCCUUGUACACACUGACAUGCCACGUGCCUUGACAAGCUUUGAAGACCUGGUAAUCUCAAGAGAAAUGAGGCUGAACCAAAUGGCAUUUGUCCACAGCUCCUCGCAUAGUGCCUAACCUCAGAGGCUUAAAAUCAAUAUCGAUUUUUGCCAUUUAUUUUACCCCACGUUUAAAUAUUCCUUAGAUUUAUUACCUUUAGGUUUUUGGUUAAGAUUCAGUGAUGGGUAUGAUAGCAAGGGUAGUAAUAAGUUAUGUAGAUAUCAUUUAAUUUAUGAACUCUGGAGCUCUAGGGUAACUUUCAGUUCAAGAAAUAUAUUAAUCACAUGCACAUCACCCUUCAUUCUGCGGUGAAGAUUUCCACGCUGGGUCCCUAUUGUGUCACUUAAUUUAUGGUCUGGACGGGUAUAUGGAUCUCCAUACAAUAUUUCAAUAUAAGUUGCUCCAGCUAACUGAGGGGAUGAAGAUGGGCUUCAAAAAAGCCAGUUGGACAGCUGAUGGAUUGCUCUCCCAAUACAUUGGCCGCAGCAUUAAGUAGCUUUUAAAACUUGUCAGCGGUUUGGAUCUUUUUCUGCUCUGAGAAGCUGCACGCACCGGCCUAGCCAAGCAGAAAUCAGCCAUGCUGCAGCAGGCAGAGGGCAGCUCCCAGAGUUACUUACGUUGACAGCCGUAGUGCCAGGAAUUUCCCGGCAGACACUCAUCACACUUAGGCCCUGUUGUUCCAGUCUUACACUCACAAAAUCCUGAGCCAUUACAACGAUCAUGGAUUGAGCCCAAAGGGUUACAAUAACACUCUGUAGAAACAAGACAACACACAGGCUGGAGACAAGUCUGCAUGGCUUACAGGUUAUCAACACAGGAGCGUCACGUACUUAAAUGCAUCACUUACUUAAAGAAAGAUGUCCAUUAAUGAAAUGCUUCGGCAAAUAUGGCUAUUUCACAACCAUUUAUUUAUUCGCUUAGCCUUCCAUGAUAUCAUUUUUAUGAUAUGGGAGGAAAUCAACUGAAAACUUCCAAGGAAAUAAGACAUGCUUUUCACUGGUAACAGAUCGUAAUGGAGAUUCCAUUUGUUAGGAUAUUUUUAGAUGGUUUAAUAAACACCAUGAGAAGUUUGUAUAUCAAGGAUAAAUCAAUAUGCCAUCAGUGUAAAAUGUGUUUUAAAUUAUUCAAAUGGGCUUAGCCAUUGCACUCAAUAUUUGAGAACUGCUGAACAUUUUAAAAGUACAAUAUGAAUGCACUUUGCUCAUUCAAAGGUAGUUUUACUUUAUGAUUUGGGACAGCAUCUUAACUUAUUCAUGCAUAUACCAUUUUGUGAUAAGCCUUUAGAUGUUGUAUUUGCUAGGCAUAUUAAUGCAGCUUUUAUGCAGCCCAGCUUAACAAUCAUGAAAGAAAAAUAAACUUUGUAACCCCAAAUAAUUUUCAACAUAGUUAUAAUUUAAGAUGUAUAUUUUUCAUUAUAAUGUCUGCUGGCAGGACAAUACAGCUUUGCACAAUAAAAGGUGAAUACAGUGUUUUCUUGAUUCCUCACACAUUCUUAUAUAGGAUAUUUUUACUUCUGAAGCUCUAUUUUGCUUAAAGCUUGAACCAGAAAUGGAUAUCCUUUAGGCUUCUAUUAGCUGGAAAGAUAGUGCAGGUAGCUGGCAGCUUUUGGGUACUGUGAGCUAAAGUUUCUUUCCUCAUUACUCUUCUAAUACUUUUGAGGAAGUUAUUGUGCCUCUCAGUUUCCAUUAUUUAAAAAUGGGUACAUUAAGCAGUUCCCUCAUGAAAAACCAAAUAAAACUAUACCAUCCAACUAACCAAGAGAAGUCUUGAAAAUUUAGUUUAAUAUAAUCAAGUUUGGCAUAUUAGAUUUGCUAUGGGGAUUCAGGGUUUAGCCUUAUAGAUGGGUCUAGGGGUUUGAUUCUAAGUUUAUGUCACAGACACUAAUUAUUCUUCAAAUAAAUGUGGAGUACCUUAGAAUUAUGAUUUAUUUUAUGCUAAUUAAGUCAGGUUUCGAGUUCAGCAUUCUUAUAAAACAAACAUUUAUAUGAUGAAUAGUUAUAUAUGUAGGUAAAAAUAAAACUUAAUAAACUCUAAAAUGCUCUCUCCUUGCCUGGCUUAGUUUGUACUUAACAACUAGAGUUUUAUUUUAAAUUAACAUUUUCUAUUUUAAUAUGCAUGUGUAUAUGGAAGCAGAUUAAAAAUAUUUUAAAAUACUAAUUUUGUGAAAGCUUUUAAUGUUUGUCUGUACAUAGGCACAUUAUAAAUUUGUACCUAUAUCGAAACUGUAAUUUUUUUUUUUACUGUUUAAAGUGUGUAAGUUGACAAUAAAUCACCAAUGUUUUGUAAGCCAGUAAGCAGAGUUACAUCUGGCCAACGUGAAUUCACAUACUCCUCCAGUCAAUUAGCCCAUGACCAUUAAUUAAUAUAAGAUUUUAGAGGCAAAAAAUGUAAACAAAAUUAAACAAAACAGUAAAACAUUUAAACCAUAAUAUAUCCCAGUCAUUGUCAUAGGAAAAUGUGGGUAAGUGUAAUGUUUUGCAGUCAUGAAAAUAAAGGACAAGAAGGGGUGUGGCCUUCCCUUCACCUUAUGUAACAAAUAAUUCAGUUUUUUAAAAGUGUCAUUUAUGGAAUGAUGGUCAAUGGUGGAUAUUGGAGUAAUGCAAAGAGUCUUGGAGGAUCAUAUUUUAUUCCAUGAAAUUAGGAAGAACAUGCAGGACUGUUAGAUUACAAAGCAACGUAAAAUACCUGGCAGGGGGUGCUUCAUUUAAAAGUUAUACUAGAAUUGAUUUACAGGUAUUAAAAGUGUCUUAUGUUCCCCUUAUUCUAUUUAAGGUACCUCUGAUUACCCAACCAUGGGUUUCAAAGGGGAAUUAAAAAUUAUACAUCAUAAUUUUAAGAAAUGCUUAGCAGCAGCUGCUGAGCUCUGUUUCAUUGUGAUGCAAAGCUUGUCAGCUGGAUUAUUAACAGUGAUUACUCAGGGUCACAAACCAUAUAUCCUCUAGCUUCCUGCUUAAUGCUCAAGUUUACAUGAAACAGAAGCAUGCAAGGAUGUCAUCUUCAUGUAAUUGCUAUGUCAUUACAGGGUAAUUACAUGUAUCUUUGGAGACAUGGCUGUGUUUGGAAUUUGUAGAAAAAAUGGGCAAAUUCACCAGUAAUUACAAAGCAGCAAUCACUGUGGCAACAUGGAAUAGCCUGCUGCAUUUUAUAUUUGCCAUAAUAUAAAAUGAUGCAAGUAUUUUACAACAUCUAUUUCAUCACACAGAGCCUACAUUUUGUCAAAGAUAUGAGUUGUUCCUUUACAGCAAGGGUGGUGAAUUUUAUUGUCAGUUGUUAAAGAAUUGGCAAAGUGUUCUUUUUUUAUUUUUAAUGUAGAUGAGACUUAGAUGAAGUUCAAAGUUUCCAAGAUUAGUGCCUUAUUCUGUGAAAGUGAAUGGGGUAAAUAUCCCUUCAUUUUCAUUAGUGCUUUCUAUACAAAAUGGUAUUAAGAUUAACUCUCAAUUACUUGUGAUGUAUCCUUUCGAAUUUAACAGUCCUGCCGCAAGCCCUUUAGGAAUCUUAAUUGUGGAAAAUAGCAAAUAGGUUCAUGCUGUCUCAUAGGGCAAACCUUAGCAAAGGAGCCAGAGGCUUCCAACGGCCCUGAGAGGGCAAACUCCAGCCUAGUGCACAGGCAGCCCCAGUACCACUGUCCUCAGCGCCUCAAGCAGGGUUUCUACAAUAAAUCAAGACUGCACAAAAAUAUUUGGAUGCUGUAUGGAAAACAACUUUUACCAGGUCUCCAACUGGCAUAAAAUGUUUUCAAGUAUGAAAACAUCUCUGGGCUUCCUCAACAGGCUGACAGAUCCCUGCAGGACCAAAGAUCAUAUGAUAUAUAUUAGAAGGUAAUGAUCAGUUUAUCACUUGAACAAAAACACCCACACCAAGACAACUAUUACUUUGGAUUAUCGGCAGCAACAAAUAUUCACUUGGAUAAAAUCACGAAUUUUACUUAUAAGUGCAUAAUACACUUUAUUAAAAAAUGCAAUCUGAAGGAAUUCCU
rnacentral:lncRNA from 1 species